rnacentral:tRNA from 1 species
ACCUACUUAACUCAGUGGUUAGAGUAUUAUUUUCAUACGGCAAGAGUCAUUGGUUCAAAUCCAAUAGUAGGUA